rnacentral:lncRNA from 12 species
CAAGCUGAUGGAAAACACUGAACGGCAGGGACAUGCCUACAGGAUAGCCUGAAGUGGGAACUGUUUAAGAAGAAGAAAUUUUAGACAUGUGAAAGAAUCAAGAGAAUCCUGCACCAGUUCAUCUAUCCAUAACACAGGAUCUACUUACAAGUUUAUCACAAUGAAAAACCUUUGCAGUAAUAGUUUGAUAUACCUGUAUCACUGGAAACAGCCCACAAGCUACAUGGUUUCACCAUGA